rnacentral:tRNA from 1 species
UCCCUGGUGGCUUAGACAGUAAAGCGUCUGCCUGCAAUGCGGGAGACCUGGGUUCAAUCCCUGGGUUGGGAA